rnacentral:rRNA from 1 species
CCCUUAGAUGUUCUGGGCCGCACGCGCGCUACACUGUCGGAUUCAGCGAGUCUUAUCCUUAACCGAAAGGUUUGGGUAAUCUUUUCAAAGUCCGACGUGAUGGGGAUUGAUCAUUGCAAUUAUUGAUCAUGAACGAGGAAUACCUUGUAAGCGCGGGUCAUCAUCCCGCGCUGAAUACGUCCCUGCCCUUUGUACACACCGCCCGUCGCUCCUACCGAUUGAGUGGUCCGGUGAGGCUUUGGGAUCUGAGCGGAAAGAGCGUUUCGCUGUUUCUGCUCGGAAAACUCAGUCGAACCUUAUCAUUUAGAGGAAGGAGAAGUCGUAACA